rnacentral:rRNA from 1 species
GCAGUCUGCAACUCGACUGCAUGAAGCUGGAAUCGCUAGUAAUCGCGAAUCAGCAUGUCGCGGUGAAUACGUUCCCGGGUCUUAUACACACCGCCCGUCACACCAUGGGAGUCGGAUAUGCCCGAAGCCGGUGACCUAACCGCAAGGAAGGAGCCGUCGAAGGUGGAGCCGAUGACUGGGGUGAAGUCGUAACAAGGUAUC